AUAGUUAUUAAGUAAGAGAAAUUAGAUAUCUGACAUAGAUAUGAAAGGUUUUUAACCGGACAGAGUCACGACUGGAAGAGAAGAAGAGGUAUUAAAAGUAUGUCAAAAGAAAAAGAAGUAAAUGCCUUAACAGUGUCCGAAUGCAAGGCCGGAAUGGUUGUUAACAGAAACUUUGAAAUACUUUACAAAAAAAGAGAGAAAG
rnacentral:lncRNA from 1 species